rnacentral:piRNA from 1 species
UGGGCAGGUGUUUUCACAGCUCCAAAGGGAC